rnacentral:tRNA from 1 species
GACUGGAUAGCUCAGUUGGUUAGAGCGUACUGCUGAUAACGCCAAGGUUGCAAGUUCAAUCCCCGUAUGGGACG